rnacentral:rRNA from 1 species
UACGGGGGGGGCAAGCGUUGUUCGGAAUUACUGGGCGUAAAGGGCUCGUAGGCGGCCAACUAAGUCAGACGUGAAAUCCCUCGGCUUAACCGGGGAACUGCAUCUGAUACUGGAUGGCUUGAGAUUGGGAGAGGGAUGCGGAAUUCCAGGUGUAGCGGUGAAAUGCGUAGAUAUCUGGAGGAACACCGGUGGCGAAGGCGGCCAACUGGACGAAUACUGACGCUGAGACACGAAAGCGUGGGGAGCAAACAGG